GGGUGGGUGGAUAUGGGGGACUUUUGGUAUAGCAUUGGAAAUGUAAAUGAGUUAAAUACCUAAUAAAAAAUGGAAAAAAAAAUAAAAUAAAAUAAAAUAAAAUAAAAUUGAAAAAAAAAAAAAAAAAGAACUAAUUUGGGAACAGGACCUUAGCAUCAUAACUACCCCUAGAGUCCAUAAUUAAUGUAGCUGUUUGCAAGUCCUUGACAGAUUAGCUGAAGUUUGGUUCAUUUAUCUUAAAAUUGUCUCACUGUUUCUGUAACUGUAUGCAAGGUAAUUUUGGUGGAUAUAUCUGCUUUACCUAAUACACCUGUUUCUUUUUAGCUUUACAGUAUAUAAUCUGAUAUUUGGUAUUUAAAAGACCCUGCAGUAAAUAUUUAUUAAAUACAUAUAUAGGAUUUACAGAUAUUUCUGUUUGAGCUAUAUAAAUAUACAUGUGUACACACUGAGAGACAAGUAUGCAUACUCUGGAAUGAAAUCAUUGAAGAAUGAUCAUAAGACAUGAAAUCUUAAAUAUACAUGAUAGGUUAAAUUGAAUAGGUUAUAUUUAUGCUGCUCCUUUUAUAGAUAUUCACCAAUUUGUUCUUGUUUUGGACUUAACAUUCAAAUAUAACGUUAAGCUCGGUAAAGCACUGAUUUAGAUCUUUGUAUAGUUUAGAAUGAACCAGUGUUUGGUAUAGAAAUAGUUUGGACAAAAAUGAAUUUUACACAAAUGUUCAUAUUUUGAAAGACAUAACAGGCUUUUAUAGUGUGCAUUUUUUUGUAUAACGUACAAGGUUUGGACACAACUAAACAUGUUUUUAGUCAUACAGUAUGAAAUGUACUAAAUGACUUAUAAACUUAUUGCUAACAAAGUUAUUCAGAAGACUAACACAAACCAAUAUAUAAACCAACCUUGACCUUAAGGCAAUUUCCUAAGAAGCCAAAAGUCUGAAAUGUAAACAAACAUUUUUCUCAUAAUAUUUGACCCAUGUACAAAUUAUCCUUUUUCUUUGUUGUUGUUGUCAUUUUUUGGUUCCUUCCCUUCAACACUUUCCACAUCUCCCCACCUCCACACUUUCUCAAAUUCAUGGCUUGUUUUCCUUUUUAUUAGUGUUACACUCAUACCACUUGUUUAUAUAUAAAUGCAUAACUACAUAAAUACAGCCUGCCAAGUCCAUUUAGUGUUGCUUGUAUGUGUAUUACUGCUUGUUACUGGAUAGCCAGUCAGGGCGCUCGUCGCAGGGGAAGACCCAAGUCUCCCUACUUGAGCAGCCAUUUGGAAUUCUGUCAAGUAGAUUGUGACCUAAUGAGAUUCCAUGGAAUAAGGAUCUAAAUUUAUUAUAAUUCCAGUAAUUUAACACCAUCAUGCCCACAAUUCAGUGGUUAAGUUAGAAAUGUAAUUGUACUAUCUCUAAAACCCAGGUAAGGAGAAUGAGUUAGAUAUUAAUUUGUGUUUUAUUUCUUAAACUGUCAGGUAGCUUUUCCGGUGGUUAUUUGCUUUACUGAUUCUUUAUCUUAAUGUAUAAGUAAAAUGAUUUAAUUUACCAAAACGCUAUUUGAACAAACUGUUUAGGAAGUCAGUUACACAGGUUGAGGCUCAUCUGAGGUUGUUAAAACAUAUUACUGAAUAAUUUCUCUUUGCUAUAUAAAUAUUCUGGCAUUUAGCAAAAUUAACUAAUACCCUAAGAAGCUGAUCUAAAUGAAUAUGAAUAUAUCAUUUCCAUUACUUCCCCAGUCUGAGUUUGAAAGUUCUUAGAAAUUUGGAAUUCAAAUAACUCCUAAAAAGGAAAGAAUUCUUCCUGUAAUUAUUCUUCCUCUCCCCCCUCUCCUGUGAAAAGAUGUGUUUAUUUUAGAUAAAUAUUCCAAGGUCUCUUCUGUAAUUGUGUCCUUACUAGAAAAACAAAAGUAAAGAGGCAGUCCUCCACAUAAUACUCCGUAAUGACAGUGUUGCUCCUAAGCAGCCUUAGGAAGUAGUUCUCCUUCCCUGGGAAGAGCUUUUAGAAACCCCUAUAUUCUUUUCACGGUCAGAAGACAAAACAAUUGAGUAAGCAUCAUUAGACUAGUCAUCUCUCUGUAGGAAUGGAAUCUUUUGUUUAUAAUUAGUCCCAGAGGGUGGUUUUUGUUUGGUUGGUUUUUGUUUUUAUUUUUGUUUUUAUCCCAUUUAACAUAAAGCUUUCCGGGUUGUGAGGAGGGAAGGGGAGGAAGGGAAGAGAAGAGAAUGAGAGCACACAUAUGCGCCAGGGUGCUUUGAAGAGCACACUCCUUUCUCAGUCGCCAGAUGAGAAGUUCCUGAUGCUCUCUCCACAUAGUAUAGAGGUUCAUGGUUGUACUUUUUGUAGUACUUCCACUUUAGUAUAGUGAAUGGUGGUGACUCAAAUUUUGCCCACUCACAUAAGAUAAAAUUAGUGGAGGCCCAACCAGGUUCAGUUCUGAAGUCCUGUGAUUAUGAUGUAAUGUACUACUUAUGUUAUUAUAAUUAAUAUGUUUCUUUCCUGGAGGAAUGGUUUAAGUGUUGAACUUGUGUACUAAACUGCUUCCUAUAAGGUUAUUGAUAAGAAUAGAUUUGUUGUGUUGGGGUUUGGAGAAGAAUUAUUUUGUGUCAACAUGUUACCUUUUGUGAAUCAUUAAACAUAACUUAAAGUC
rnacentral:lncRNA from 1 species